GAUGAACGCUGGCGGCGUGCCUAACACAUGCAAGUCGAACGGUCAAGCGCCUUCCUUUUUGGUGGGUGUGUAUGAGUGGCCAACUGGUUAGUAACACGUGAGCAUCCUUCUCCCUUUUUCUGGAUAACCGCAUGAAAGUGUUGCUAAUACGUAAUAUUCUGGGUCUCUUGCUUCAUGAGUCUGGGAAAGUUUUUGUUUCGCUGGGGGAUGGGCCCGCGGCCUAUCAGCUUGUUGGUGGGGCGAUGGCCUACCAAGGCGAUGACGGGUAGCCGACCUGAGAGGGUGGACGAUAACAGUAGGAAUGAGACACCGAGAAGACUACUACAGGAGGCAGCAGUGGGGAAUAUUGCACAAGGGGCGGAAGGAUGAUGCAGCGACGCGGCGGGGAGGAUGGAGUCCUGAGGGUUGAAAACCGCUUUCGGGAGAGAAGAAAGGCUGAAGCGUUUAUGCAUGGGUUGACGGUAGCUGAACAGAAAGCCACGGCUAACUACGUG
rnacentral:rRNA from 1 species